GUCCAGUGCCCUGCAAACUGAAAUAUGAAUCCUCAAGGGAUUGAAAGUGUUUAAAAUGCAGAUGCGACUCCAGAAGACCCAAGAGAUUGCAUUUCUAAUAAACUCCCAGGCAGAUGCCAGCAUUGCUGGUACACAGACCACACUGAGCAUGAACACCAGGAGCCAGCAAGUGGGCCACUUCCGCUGCUUGUCAAGAACUGACCGUUGAGCCCUGGAAAAGAAAUGCACUGUUUCUCCAUGGAGGACAACACUUGGGGGAGUUUCGUGAGCCGUCUUAGAUGCCUCCAGACAGCACAACGGAACAUAGAAGAUGGAAGUGAGAGACCCACAUGAAAGCCUCCAGCCAAGCUGCUUGCUUUACAUCCACCACCAAGGACCAAGUUCAGCCGAGGGUGCCCACAGAAGACAGAAGAAAAUGCCCGGUUCCCUGGAGCUGGAGUUACAGGAAGUUGUGACCUGCCUGACAUGGGUUCUGGAUCCUCAAACUUGGUUCCUCUGUGAAAUUCAUCAUCUUGACUGUUGAUCCAUCUCUCCAGGCCCUGGCACCAUGAAUUUGACACUGUCUUUGGACUAGGAUUUAAAAACGAAGUCUCGAAUGUGGGUUGAGCUCUCUUUUCCCUGGAUGGGAGUCUGGACUUUUCAAUACACCUAGAGACAGCUCUGGAGACAUGAAAGGUGUGCCCCAGAGAGUAACAGAACCUAACCUGUAAAUCUUACUAAGAUCUCAACCCAAACUUAGAGUCCUGUGAUUAAAAAUCACACUGCCACCUCCUCUGAACUGCACUCAGCUUUCCUAAAUGAGAUUUUAUGGGAACUGAUUGUGAUUAGAUAAAUGGGUGACUUCACUAAUGUAUAAUCCAAUUUUCAAUUACAUCGCAGGUACAAUAAUUUACAUUUCUUGUUUGAUAGUGUGAUAUUUAUGUGGCGGGCUCUGCAUGAGGCAUAGUGGCUGUUUACAUAAUGACCCUGCUUCUCUCUCUGCAAAGAUCUGGCUUUCAAUUUUCCCUUUUGUGCUGGGAGGUAUUGUCCUUCCAAGGUAAACACUGUAUAUCACAGGAUGUGCAGGUGAGGAAUGUCAAUAAAGUAAUAAUCUAGAUGGGUUUUAAUAAUUCUUAUUUAUGCCACUGGAUUAGCUAAUAGAAUAGUUUGCCUUUCAUAAAAUGUUGGAAUAAAAAUGUCCCUAAAAUUAUAGUAAAUCUGUGAUCUGUUGGCUCUAUGACAGAACACCAUUGAAUACCAAAAAUGAACUUCUAUCAAAUAUAUUUAACCAUUAAUAAUUUAAUAGUCAUUGUCUGGAGGUGGUCCUGAAGAACAGGGUUAGUGGUAAAUAUCUCUUUUCUGACCUUUGACAUCAGGUCUACAUGAAACAAUGGAGACAACACAGAAGUUUUUAUGCAUUUAACCCCAAAUGUCAUUCCUCAUUUCCUGACCAGAGACUUGUCAACCAAAUCCUUCCUUAUAGACAAAACAUCUUAAAACAAGGCAGGAGUAGGGGGAGGUGAGGAGAAAGAAGACAGGUGGAGUGAGUCCAGUUCAGGGGUCAUGGGCACACAGAGCAGUACACAGCAUAGAUGGUCUCCAUCCCAGAUGACCCCAACUACCCACAGGGAGGAGAGCAAGCCUAUGUCUACAGGCUUUCACUACA